CGAAAGCCUGACGGAGCAACGCCGCGUGGGGGAAGAAGGUUCUUGGAUUGUAAACCCCUUUUCUCAGGGAAGAAACCUGACGGUACCUGAGGAAAAAGCCUCGGCUAACUCCGUGCCAGCAGCCGCGGUAAUACGGAGGAGGCAAGCGUUAUCCGGAAUUACUGGGCGUAAAGCGUCCGUAGGGGGCUCGUCAAGUCUGCUGUCAAAGCUCGGAGCUCAACUCCGACCCGGCAGUGGAAACUGGUGCGCUAGAGGGCGACAGGGGUAGAGGGAAUUCCCAGUGUAGCGGUGAAAUGCGUAGAGAUUGGGAAGAACACCGGUGGCGAAAGCGCUCUACUGGGUCGCACCUGACCCUCAGGGACGAAAGCUAAGGUAGCG
rnacentral:rRNA from 1 species